AGGAGCGUCUCCACCCAGCUGCCACCCCGUCCGGGAGGGAGGUGGGCAUAUCAAUCACAGUGGUCCAAUGAGCCUUGAGCCAGAACUUCUGCUGGGAUUACUGGAAAAAAAGCUCAUUUAUUGCCAGAGUUCCUGCAAGCUUGGAGCUGCUAGAGGCCAUCUUUGCAACCUCGUGGGGAGAUCUUUCGGGAAAAUGAAACCAUCACAAAGGCAAGCAGAGUCUAGAGACUGAAACAGAUUUCUGUCAACAUCCUAUGGGCCCUUGCUCCCAGCCAUGCCUGAAGUUGGCUGUACCUCCGGGACCUAGACAUUUUAGUUACUCAAAAUAAUAAAUUCUCUUGUGUCCGAAACCAAUUUGAAUUAGGAUUCUGUCACUGGCAACUGACAGAAUCAACUGCCUAACAACAGUUAUAAAACAUAGUCCCAUACAG
rnacentral:lncRNA from 1 species